rnacentral:rRNA from 1 species
GACGAACGCUGGCGGCGUGCUUAACACAUGCAAGUCGAACGGAAAGGCCCUGCUUUUGUGGGGUGCUCGAGUGGCGAACGGGUGAGUAACACGUGAGUAACCUGCCCUUGACUUUGGGAUAACUUCAGGAAACUGGGGCUAAUACCGGAUAGGAGCUCCUGCUGCAUGGUGGGGGUUGGAAAGUUUCGGCGGUUGGGGAUGGACUCGCGGCUUAUCAGCUUGUUGGUGGGGUAGUGGCUUACCAAGGCUUUGACGGGUAGCCGGCCUGGGAGGGUGACCGGCCACAUUGGGACUGAGAUAGGGCCCAGACUCCUACGGGGGGCAGCAGUGGGGAAUAUUGCAAAAUGGGCGGAAGCCUGAUGCAGCAACGCCGCGUGCGGGAUGACGGCCUUCGGGUUGUAAACCGCUUUCGCCUGUGACGAAGCGUGAGUGACGGUAAUGGGUAAAGAAGCACCGGCUAACUACGUG